GACGAACGCUGGCGGCGUGCUUAACACAUGCAAGUCGAACGAUGAAGUUCCUUCGGGAAUGGAUUAGUGGCGAACGGGUGAGGAACACGUGAGAAACCUGCCUUUCAUUUUGGGAUAGCUCCGGGAAACCGGGGCUAAAACCGAAUACUCCGUCUCGGCGGCAUCGCUGAGCCGGGAAAAAAUUUUGAUGAAAGAUGGUCUCGCGGCCUAUCAGCUAGUUGGUGAGGUAAUGGCUCACCAAGGCAACGACGGGUAGCCGGCCUGAGAGGGCGACCGGCCACACUGGGACUGAGACACGGCCCAGACUCCUACGGGAGGCAGCAGUGGGGAAUAUUGGGCAAUGGGCGCAAGCCUGACCCAGCGACGCCGCGUGAGGGAUGAAGGCCUUCGGGUUGUAAACCUCUUUCAGUAGGGAAGAAGCGUAAGUAACGGUACCUAAAGAAGAAGCACCGGCUAACUAUGUGCCAGCCGCCGCGGUAA
rnacentral:rRNA from 1 species